rnacentral:scRNA from 2 species
GUGGGUUAUCAGAACUUAUUAACAUUAGUGUCACUAAAGUUGGUAUACAACCCCCCACU